rnacentral:rRNA from 1 species
GCCUACGGGAGGCAGCAGUGGGGAAUUUUCCGCAAUGGGCGAAAGCCUGACGGGAGCAAUGCCGCGUGGAGGUAGGAAGGCCUACGGGUCGUGGAACUUCUUUUCCCGGAGAAGAAGCAAUGACGUAUCUGGAAAA